rnacentral:rRNA from 1 species
UACGUAGGGUGCAAGCGUUGUCCGGAAUUAUUGGGCGUAAAGAGCUCGUAGGCGGUUCGUCGCGUCGGCUGUGAAAACCCGGAGCUCAACUCCGGGCCUGCAGUCGAUACGGGCGGACUUGAGUGUUGCAGGGGGGACUGGAAUUCCUGGUGUAGCGGUGAAAUGCGCAGAUAUCAGGAGGAACACCGGUGGCGAAGGCGGGUCUCUGGGCAACUACUGACGCUGAGGAGCGAAAGCGUGGGGAGCGAACAGG